ACGGCGAGUGAACAGGCAAGAGCUCAGAUUUGAAAGCCUUUUUGGCAUUGUAUUCUGAAGUAUUUAUCCUGAGUAAUGAUGUCUAAGUCUUCUGGAAAGGAGCGCCAUGGAGGGUGAUAGCCCCGUGUGACAUCCCACUCAUUGUAGGAUUUAUACGUGGAGUCGAGUUGUUUGGGAAUGCAGCUCAAACGGGUGGUAUGCUCCAUCUAAAGCUAAAUAUCUGUGAGAGACCGAUAGCGAACAAGUACUGUGAAGGAAAGAUGAAAAGAACUUUGAAAAGAGAGUGAAAAAGUACGUGAAAUUGUUGAAAUGGAAGGGUAGGCCGCUAACCAUGUAGAACCGUGUUUGGGGGGAAGAUAAAAGCUGAAGAAUGUGGCUCCUCGGAGUGUUAUAGCUUCAGUCAAUAUUCCCAUCCGAGCGCGAGGAUCUCA
rnacentral:rRNA from 1 species